GUUAUCUUGCUGAAUUUUGAAUUUUUAUUUUUGGUUCUGUUGCAGUUUCUUGUAUUUUUUUUUUCUUUGUUUUGCACCAUUUCAUGUUAAUUGAUUCCAUGCCAAUGGUGUGAGUUGCUGGAAUUCUUGUUGUUUUUGCAUCAACACUUUCUUAUUACCCUUUUUUUUAUUGCCUCUAUCCCUUGGCUGCUAACAUCUUCCAUAACAUGCUCAUUCAAAGAACAUGUGGGGUCAAUGUUGCUUAUGCAAUAUAUGUUUUAAUCAAAAGCAGUGGUACUGUACUGAUACACUCUGCAUUUUGCAUUCUGGUGCUGAACAGUUUAUCCA
rnacentral:misc_RNA from 1 species